GAUGAACGCUGGCGGCGUACCUAAUACAUACAAGUCGAGCGAACGGACGAGAAGCUUGCUUCUCUGAUGUUAGCGGCGGACGGGUGAGUAACACGUGGAUAACCUACCUAUAAGACUGGGAUAACUUCGGGAAACCGGAGCUAAUACCGGAUAAUAUUUUGAACCGCAUGGUUCAAAAGUGAAAGACGGUCUUGCUGUCACUUAUAGAUGGAUCCGCGCUGCAUUAGCUAGUUGGUAAGGUAACGGCUUACCAAGGCAACGAUGCAUAGCCGACCUGAGAGGGUGAUCGGCCACACUGGAACUGAGACACGGUCCAGACUCCUACGGGAGGCAGCAGUAGGGAAUCUUCCGCAAUGGGCGAAAGCCUGACGGAGCAACGCCGCGUGAGUGAUGAAGGUCUUCGGAUCGUAAAACUCUGUUAUUAGGGAAGAACAUAUGUGUAAGUAACUGUGCACAUCUUGACGGUACCUAAUCAGAAAGCCACGGCUAACUACGUG
rnacentral:rRNA from 1 species